rnacentral:lncRNA from 1 species
GACCUCUAUCAAAUUGAUGGUCAAAUUCAUUCUUUAUGAGGCCUAGAUUUUGAAGUCCACCAGAUUUUUUAGACAUCUCAACAUACAUCUUUCUUGUCCGUUCACUAACCGCAUGUAAAGUGUCGAUGUUAUUCUUUUCAGCUAAUUUAACAUUCUUACGAAUUCGGAAAUGAUAAGCUAAGGCAGGUAAUAGCUCGUGAUUGUGCUCCUUUAUAAAUUCAUGAAUAUACCAUUUUCCAUCUCGCUUUCUCUUCACAUUCUUCUAGUGCCAAGUACCGACCUCUAUCAAAUUGAUGGUCAAAUUCAUUCUUUAUGAGGCCUAGAUUUUGAAGUCCACCAGAUUGUUUAGACAUCUCAACAUACAUCUUUCUUGUCCGUUCACUAACCGCAUGUAAAAUGUCGAUGUUAUUCUUUUCAGCUAAUUUAACAUUCUUACGAAUUCGGAAAUGGUAAGCUAAGGCAGGUAAUAGCUCGUGAUUGUGCUCCUUUAUAAAUUCAUGAAUAUACCAUUUUCCAUCUCGCUUUCUCUUCACAUGCAUGCUCGCUUUACAAUCUGUCUUUUUCACACUCGGACGUCUACUACUGCUGCUAUCAGAUUCUGGUGCGACUCCA